GCUUUAGGUCUCGUUGGUGACCAGCGGAGGGAUCAUUACCGAGUUUACAACUCCCAAACCCAAUGUGAACGUUACCAAACUGUUGCCUCGGCGGGAUCUCUGCCCCGGGUGCGUCGCAGCCCCGGACCAAGGCGCCCGCCGGAGGACCAACCAAAACUCUUAUUGUAUACCCCCUCGCGGGUUUUUUACUAUCUGAGCCAUCUCGGCGCCCCUCGUGGGCGUUUCGAAAAUGAAUCAAAACUUUCAACAACGGAUCUCUUGGUUCUGGCAUCGAUGAAGAACGCAGCGAAAUGCGAUAAGUAAUGUGAAUUGCAGAAUUCAGUGAAUCAUCGAAUCUUUGAACGCACAUUGCGCCCGCCAGUAUUCUGGCGGGCAUGCCUGUCCGAGCGUCAUUUCAACCCUCGAACCCCUCCGGGGGGUCGGCGUUGGGGAUCGGCCCUUUACGGGGCCGGCCCCGAAAUACAGUGGCGGUCUCGCCGCAGCCUCUCCUGCGCAGUAGUUUGCACACUCGCAUCGGGAGCGCGGCGCGUCCACAGCCGUUAAACACCCCAAACUUCUGAAAUGUUGACCUCGGAUCAGGUAGGAAUACCCGCUGAACUUAAGCAUAUCAAUAAGCGGAGGA
rnacentral:rRNA from 1 species